AUCAAUGGCCAAAGGAAAAUUCUGUUUUCUGGUUCCAUUCAUUACCCCAGAAGUACCCCUAAUGUAUGGCAUUUUCGUUCGUAUUCGUUUUUCUUAUUUUGGUAUUUGGUAUUUUGGUGACUUUUGUUCACUUAUAAAAGGAAAAAGAUUGUAUCCUAGCUUGUUCAGACUGCAAACAACACUUCACACGAGCUAUCUCACGGAGAAAGUUCUACUGUACUAAUUGCCGUCGAGCUACCCAGUUGGUUUCCAGGUGCCAAUUUGAAGUGACGCUCACAGACCAGAGCGGUUCUACAACAGCAAGUAUUGCCGACGAGCAUGCAGAAAAAAUUUUGCUUCUCACUUCGGAAGAGAUUUAUGAUAUCUGCAACGUCAAGAAAGGACUGUUGCCUCUUGAGAACGCGCAAAAGCUACUGACUGGCAAGAUCUUCAAGAUUCAAAUAAAAAAGCUAUUUACAAGAAACAAUGAGGCAGUGCCAGUAAAGUUAGUUAUUUUGUCUUUCAUGGACAAAACUAAUUCAGCUGUCUCACAAAUGCCAGCCACCAUCAAGGAUGAUGCGGAAGGAAGUAAACGAAAAAUUGAACACAUUGCCACAGAGAAGUAAGAGCACCUACAGAUAACAACCAAAGGCAACGGUUCCUACAACAAAUGUAAGGCGGAAAUGAAAAUUUCCCCUCCGAAAAACUGCUGAGAGCACUUUUGCCGGUGAAACUUUGCUACUAUUUUGGGAUGCAAGUGAAGCCACAUCUUAGUGUUGCUUUUGAAUGCGGUUAAGCUCACUUUUGCGACUGCUUUCUGGAUGUUCCUCUACUCGGAAUAUGUCGCGGCGAUACGAGCUUCGUUCACUUUUGCGCCUACUUUUUGGAUGAUCCCCUACUCGGAAAAUGUCGCGGCGACACGAGAUAUUUUUGGCCAAGAACUAAUAGAAAAGGGACAAGAAAGAAGACCAAAGACCGCAUAUGUAUCUACCAAUCCAAGCGCAGGGGGCGGGUGCAGUUGUAAAAGUUCAUUUAUGGUGAAACAGUAAUUGGCACUUUGAUAGCAUUCAGUCCAAAUAAUCAGGCUUUCCUCAGAGCUGGACAUGUUUUACUGCAGUCAGCAUGACAGUUGUUAUAUUAAUCCUUUUGGUGUCUAAUGUCUAUUCACGUAUACUCAUACCAUUUGAGGCAACAAGACCAGAAACAGCAAAAUGCUGGUAAAGCAUUUUUUAGAAUUUGUACUGAGACCAUAGUUUCUUUAUUGUACAUGUCAAUUCUUUUGUCUUAUUGGAGCUAGUUGGAGGGCAGAAUGUAACUGUUAAAUUAGGCAGACAGACUGGCUGUUGUAUUUUAGGCAAUAAUUCCAGUUGAAGAGAUGCUAUUCAGUUUUG